rnacentral:rRNA from 1 species
AUUGAACGCUGGCGGCAGGCUUAACACAUGCAAGUCGAGCGGGGUGAUGGUGCUUGCACUAUCACUUAGCGGCGGACGGGUGAGUAAUGCUUAGGAAUCUGCCUAUUAGUGGGGGCAACAUCUCGAAAGGGAUGCUAAUACCGCAUACGUUCGACGGGUGAAAGCAGGGGAUGACUUGUGACCUUGCGCUAAUAGAUGAGCCUAAGGCUGAUUAGCUAGUUGGUGGGGUAAAGGCCUACCAAGGCGACGAUCUGUAGCGGGUCUGAGAGGAUGGUCCGCCACACUGGGACUGAGACACGGCCCAGACUCCUACGGGAGGCAGCAGUGGGGAAUAUUGGACAAUGGGGGGAACCGUGAUCCAGCCAUGCCGCGUGUGUGAAGAAGGCCUUAUGGUUGUAGAGCACUUUAAGCGAGGAGGAGGCUCUUUUGGUUAAUACCCAAGAUGAGUGGACGUUACUCGCAGAAUAAGCACCGGCUAACUCUGUGCCAGCAGCCGCCGCCG